AACGUAGGAGGCGAGCGUUAUCCGGAUUUACUGGGCGUAAAGCGCGUGUAGGCGGUACGGCAAGUUGGAUGUGAAAGCUCCUGGCUUAACUGGGAGAGGUCGUUCAAAACUGCCGAACUAGAGUAUGAGAGAGGGAGGUGGAAUUCCGGGUGUAGUGGUGAAAUGCGUAGAUAUCCGGAGGAACACCAGUGGCGAAAGCGGCCUCCUGGCUCAAAACUGACGCUCAGACGCGAAAGCUAGGGUAGCAAACGGG
rnacentral:rRNA from 1 species